rnacentral:rRNA from 1 species
GCUGGCGGCGUGCUUAACACAUGCAAGUCGAACGAUGAACCACUUCGGUGGGGAAUUAGUGGCGAACGGGUGAGUAACACGUGGGCAAUCUGCCCUUCACUCUGGGACAAGCCCUGGAAACGGGGUCUAAUACCGGAUGAUACUUCUGCUCGCAUGGGUGGGGGUUGAAAGCUCCGGCGGUGAAGGAUGAGCCCGCGGCCUAUCAGCUUGUUGGUGAGGUAGUGGCUCACCAAGGCGACGACGGGUAGCCGGCCUGAGAGGGCGACCGGCCACACUGGGACUGAGACACGGCCCAGACUCCUACGGGAGGCAGCAGUGGGGAAUAUUGCACAAUGGGCGAAAGCCUGAUGCAGCGACGCCGCGUGAGGGAUGACGGCCUUCGGGUUGUAAACCUCUUUCAGCAGGGAAGAAGCGAAAGUGACGGUACCUGCAGAAGAAGCGCCGGCUAACUACGUGCCAGCAGCGCCGGGUAAUAA